rnacentral:tRNA from 1 species
GUUCAGGGGCGGGAAUCGAACCCACAACCUUCUGCUUACCGGGCAGGUGCCAUGUCCACUAGGCUACCCUGGA